rnacentral:rRNA from 1 species
UACGAAGGGGGCUAGCGUUGCUCGGAAUUACUGGGCGUAAAGGGAGCGUAGGCGGAUAGUUUAGUCAGAGGUGAAAGCCCAGGGCUCAACCUUGGAACAGCCUUUGAUACUGGCUAUCUUGAGUACGGGAGAGGUGAGUGGAACUCCGAGUGUAGAGGUGAAAUUCGUAGAUAUUCGGAAGAACACCAGUGGCGAAGGCGACUCACUGGCCCGUUACUGACGCUGAGGCUCGAAAGCGUGGGGAGCGAACAGG